rnacentral:misc_RNA from 1 species
UUAAAUCUUUAUUGGAUUCAGACACAAGACUUGAUUCUGCAUAGAGACGGCCCUCCCAUGAGAGAGGGCCGAAGCACGUCUCACUUCCACAGGUUUGCAAGGUUGAAGGCCUAGUGGCCAUUCAGUAAUGAUCCCUCCGCAGGUUCACCUACGGAGA